GUAGGAAACACCAGCAGUCAGAGGCUGGAGGAAUACAGCAGGAUCUUACAUAAGACUCCAAUCGUGCAGAAAAUCGAGCCAAAGCUGGGGAGGAGAGAAGGAAUUUUCCCAAAUUACAAAAUGAUGCUCAGGAAGACAUGAAGCAGAUGAUUUCAAGUUCACAGUGCAAUGGCAAGCCCCACGAGUUAAAUGCUGAACACAAGAGUGUGCCAAGAAUAAAGCUGGUACAGGGAGAUAAUUGGACAGAAGCCUUGAACACUGAGGGUAAGAUUUGCUCUGUGCAACAGAGAUGAGAGAAGGAACGAGCAGAGAGGGCUCCAACAGCUGAAAAACAAGAGAAAGAGAAAGAGAAAAAGAGGCAGAAAAAGGAAGCAAAUCCAGUAAGGAAAAAGUAGGGACCAAUGAAGAGAAGCGAUGUAGUAAAGGGAGAAUGUAAAGCACAUUUGUUGGUCUGCACCUUGCAGGGAAUAACAACAGCAAAGGGAAAGGCAGGAUUUUUAAGGUAUCCACAAGGAGGUUUUCAAUUACUCAGCAGUGGAAUUCCUGACCAAGUGACAGCUUGGUCUUGGUCUGGUUUUUAGUGCUGGUGGAAGGGGAUGUGUACGUUUGACACCAUGAUAAAGGUUAACAUUAGCUGUCAAUAUGCUCUUGGUUGCUCAAAUUCUAGUGAGGAUUGUGCCUUAAA